CAAAGGCUUGGUCCUGACUUUACUGUCAACUCUGACUAGACUUACACAUGCAAGUAUCCGCCUCCCUGUGAGAAUGCCCCCCCCCGUUUUAUGCCCUAAAACAAGGAGCCGGUAUCAGGCACACCCCACGUUAAGCCCAUGACGCCUUGCUAAGCCACACCCCCACGGGAACUCAGCAGUGAUAAAUCUUACAGCCAUAAGUGAAAACUUGACUUAGUUUAUAGCCAAACAGGGCCGGUAAAACUCGUGCCAGCCACCGCGGUGAUACGAGAGGCCCAAGCUGACAGCCCCCGGCGUAAAGCGUGGUUAGGGUUACACCUAGAACUAAAGCCGAACACCCCUAAAGCCGUCAUACGCAUAUAAGGGUAUGAAGCCCGCCCACGAAAGUGGCUUUAGAACUCCUGACUCCACGAAAGCUAAGAAACAAACUGGGAUUAGAUACCCCACUAUGCUUAGCCGUAAACAUAGAUAGACCAAUACAACCCCUAUCCGCCCGGACACUACGAGCGUAAGCUUAAAAUCCAAAGGACUUGGCGGUUCGUUAGAUCCCUCUAGAGGAGCCUGUUCUGUAACCGAUAAUCCCCGUUUAACCUCACCCCCCCUUGCUUAUUCAGCCUAUAUACCACCGUCGCCAGUUUACCCUGUGAAGGACCAAUAGUAAUCAAAAUCGGCACCACCCAGAACGUCAGGUCGAGGUGUAGCAUAUGGGGGGGGAAGAAAUGGGCUACAUUCGCUAGCAUAGCGCACACGAAUGACGCAUUGAAAUCAUGCGUUCUGAAGGAGGAUUUAGCAGUAAGCAGCAAAUAGAGCGUGCCGCUGAAGCGGGCUCUGAAGAGCGCACACACCGCCCGUCACUCUCCCCGAACAACCAAUAAUCGUAUAUAUAAAACGCUAUGCCUGUAAAGGGGAGGCAAGUCGUAACAUGGUAAGUGUACCUGAAGGUGCACUUGGCAAAAAU
rnacentral:ncRNA from 1 species